GUUACUUCGGUACAUCGGUGACAGGUGGUGCAUGGUUGUCGUCAGCUCGUGCCGUGAGAUGUUGGGUUAAGUCCCGCAACGAGCGCAACCCUUAUCUUUAAUUGCCAGCAUUCAGUUGGGCACUUUAAAGAGACUGCCGGUGUUAAACCGGAGGAAGGUGGGAUGACGUCAAGUCCUCAUGGCCUUUAUGCUUAGGGCUACACACGUGCUACAAUGGGUGGUACAAAGAGAAGCCAACUCGCGAGAGCGCGCCAAUCUCAAAAAGCCAUCCUCAGUUCGGAUUGGAGUCUGCAACUCGACUCCAUGAAGUUGGAAUCGCUAGUAAUCGCGGAUCAGCAUGCCGCGGUCGAAUACGUUCCCGGGCCUU
rnacentral:rRNA from 1 species